rnacentral:rRNA from 1 species
GAUGAACGCUGGCGGCGUGCCUAAUACAUGCAAGUCGAGCGGAGCGGGGACGGGUGAGUAACACGUGGAUAACCUCCUAUAAGGCGGGGUUAACUUCGGGAAACCGGGGCUAAACCGGAUACUUCUAGGUGGAUCCGCGCUGCAUUAGCUAGUGGGUGAGGUAACGGCUCACCAAGGCAACGAUGCAUAGCCGACCUGAGAGGGUGAUCGGCCACACUGGAACUGAGACACGGUCCAGACUCCUACGGGAGGCAGCAGUGGGGAAUCUUCCGCAAUGGGCGAAAGCCUGACGGAGCAAUGCCGCGUGAGUGAAGAAGGUCUUCGGGUCGUAAAACUCUGUUAGUAGGGAAGCGGUACCUAAACAGAAAGCCCCGGCUAACUACGUGCCAGCAGCCGCGGUAAUAC